UGAUAUUUUUGGAAACCACUCAGUAAUAGUGAUAGAUCCCAGGGUCUAUACUAUCUCUAAUUCUCAUUGCUACCAGCCAAUAAAUCAGUAACAUGUGCACUUUAGAGUUCAAGAAAUUGAGGCUCAAAGUUCUAGCCCGAUAGUAUCAGGGUUCUCGCUUAGUUCUCUAAUAGAAAAUCUCUCAAUGUUUCUGUCAAGUUUUCCUUAUCUGUCCUCUCUUCCUUUCUACUGUUACACAUUUAAAUAUUCAGCUCCAAAUUAUCACUUUUUUUGAUUUAGCAAACAACUUCUCCUUCGAUUCACAUUUCUAUUUAUCUUCAUUAUAAUGACUCCCUCAUGCCAAGUAGCUACCAAAAUAAGUGCAGACUCUGAAUCCUCCAAACUAUAUAGUAUGCUUUCAAGUACAUGAAUGAUCCCAACGUGACAUGUUUUAGUCAUUUAUUAAAAAAAAAAAACAAAAAUUGCCUAGCAUGAGCUGGAUGCUGCUUUAGGAGCUAGAGAUUAAAGCUUGUGGGUGUGUCUGUGUGUGUGCGCACGUGUGCGUGCGUGUGUGUGUGUUGGGGGAGGGGAGGCUGGAUAAACGAUUCUACAGACGUUUGUAAGCAUAUGCUUUGGACCACAGUAUAUGUAAUUUUGAGAGCCUGUAUUAUGCAGGUUUUGUCUAUUGGGAAGGCAGCUCAAAGAGAAUUCGUGGCCACUGCAUAUGACACAUCAGAUUGUCUACUAAUAACUGUUAUUUCUCUUAGGGAACUGACUCAUGGAAAGAACUUCAAUGUUUGUACCUCCCUACCCUCUCAGGCUUCCAAACCACCCUGUGCAGGAGAGACAGAAUCCAUGUCUUUGAACCCUAGCAACAAGCAUGAGAAAGGACACAUGGAAUAUGAACCAACACAGGCUGAGAGACAGUGAAGAAUGGCUCAGCAUUUGAUUGCAUCAUUUACGUUCUUGUUCUGUCACUGAGUUAUCUUGGAUAGGUUACUGAAAUUUCUUUAAUUUUACUUUUAUUUUCUGAAAUAGAUGAUAAUAAUAAGAUUGUUUUAAGAAUUAAAUUUAAACACAGCACAGAGACUGGCGCAGGCAAAGUAAUUAAUAAAGGUGAAUAGUCAUCAUUAUUCUAUCA
rnacentral:lncRNA from 1 species